GGCCAUGUAAAGAUAUGCUUGCUUCCCCUUUGCCUUCUGCCAUAAUUGUAAGUUUCCUGAGGCCUCCCAGCCAUGCUUCUUGUAUAGCCUGCAGAACUGUGAGCCAAUUAAACCUCUUUUCUUUAUAAAUUACCCAGUCUCUGGUAGCUCUUCACAGCAAUGUGAGAACGGACUAAUAUACAUGCUUAGCUUGCCUGACCUGUGAUGACUUGUACUACCUCAGGACUCUGCAGAAAGUCUCUGCCAGCAAGAAGGCUCUCACCAGAUGUGGCCCCUAGACGUUGGACUUCCUAGCCUCCAGAACUGCAUAUUAAGAAGAAAAGGAGCACCUCAGAAUCCUCUGGGCAGUCCCUUUUUUCUCACUGAAGUGACUGGCUUUCCUCACUGGGGACCUAGUAAUAGCCAAAUGUUCUGUGUACAAUUAGUGAAAGAUCUACAUGCAUUCCUGCUACUUUUGUGGGUAAUGCAGAAAACAAAAUACUGUGCAAAUGGUACACAGCCCAGGAAAAAGUAGGGCAACCAAAUCUGUGGCUUUGAAGCCACGGGAAUGAUCAAGAAACCCAAUUAGACUAUAAGCAUGGUGAAAUAGGCCAGAGGCUCAUAAAUCCUCACCUGGUGCUGGAAUCCCAUCUGCAGCAAGCAGCCAUUACACACUAGGUGAUCACUGGCCUGCCCACUCUCCUAGCCCCCCACCACUCUGACCAGAGCUAGUUAGAAGUCAGCUGCAAAAAAUAUGUGUGUAUCCAGUGAGAGCUUCCUGAGAAGGCAGUUCACAAGCAUGGGAGCCGUAUUAGAUCUGUUAUUGGAAUGGUCAUUAGGAAAACACGAUAUCAGGAGGGAUUGUGCAAGUCAUCGCUAUGAAUCUGAAUGCCUGUGUCCCCCAAAAUUCAUAUAUGGAAAUCCUAACCCCCAAGGUGAUGGUAAUUAGGAGGUGGGGCCUUUGGGAGGUGAUUAGGUCGUAAGGGCAGACCCCUCAUGAAUGAGAUUAGUGCCUCUAUCAAAGAGGCCCCGAAGAGCUGCCUUUUGUUUCUUCUACCACGGGAGGAAGUGAAAAGGUGCCAUCUCUGAACCAGGAAGCAGACCCUCACCAGACAAUGAAUGGGCUGGUGCUUUGACCUUGGACUUAGCCUCCAGAAUUGUGAG
rnacentral:lncRNA from 10 species